rnacentral:rRNA from 1 species
AUACGGAGGAUCCAAGCGUUAUCCGGAAUCAUUGGGUUUAAAGGGUCCGUAGGUGGAUAAUUAAGUCAGAGGUGAAAGUUUGCGGCUCAACCGUAAAAUUGCCUUUGAUACUGGUUAUCUUGAAUCAUUGUGAAGUGGUUAGAAUAUGUAGUGUAGCGGUGAAAUGCAUAGAUAUUACAUAGAAUACCAAUUGCGAAGGCAGAUCACUAACAAUGUAUUGACACUGAUGGACGAAAGCGUGGGGAGCGAACGGGAUUAGAUACCCCGGUAGUCCACGCCGUAAACGAUGGUCACUAGCUGUUCGGACUUCGGUCUGAGUGGCUAAGCGAAAGUGAUAAGUGACCCACCUGGGGAGUACGUUCGCAAGAAUGAAACUCAAAGGAAUUGACGGGGGCCCGCACAAGCGGUGGAGCAUGUGGUUUAAUUCGAUGAUACGCGAGGAACCUUACCAGGGCUUAAAUGUAGAUUGCAUUAGCUAGAGAUAGCUAUUUCUUCGGACUAUCUACAAGGUGC